rfam:Pseudomonas fuscovaginae strain IRRI 6609 Pf_IRRI_6609_contig_10.10, whole genome shotgun sequence.
UGCGCGAUGCCGAAUGCGGGUCGCGCCUCAAAUCACUUGGAGAAAACUCAGGAGAUUUAGCAAUGGCU